AAAUUUGAGUUAAGAUCAACGGUUUAUUCAUUAGUUAUUGAGGUUUAAAACUGUUAUAGGCAUUAUUAGGAUUUGGUUUAGGAUUUGGUUAGGAUUUGGUUUAGGGUUUAGGGUUUGGAUUAGGGUUUGAUUUAGGAUUUGGUUGGGAUUUAUUUAGGAUUUAGGAUUUGAUUAGGGUUUGGUUUAGGAUUUAGGGUUUGGAUUAGGAUUUUGUUAGGAUUUGAUUUAGGGUUUAAGGUUUGGUUUAGGGUUUGGUUAGGAUUUGGUUUAGGAUUUGAUUGGGAUUUGGUUUAAGGUUUGUUUAGGAUUUGAUUCAAGGUUUAGGAUUUGGUUGGAAUUUGGUUUAAGGUUUAUUUAGGGUUUGAUUCAAGGUUUAGGAUUUUAUUAGGAUUUAAGAUUCAAUUAGUUUUGGCCUAAAGUUUGAAUGAAGUUCAAUAGGAUUUUAACUAGAAUUAAAUUAAGAUUGAACUGAGAUGUAUUUGAGUGAUAUUUGUAAUCAUUUUAAUAUUUCUUUAAGAAUUCUUAUUCUUUGUUUAAAAUUUCUUUGAGAUUUUUUUGAAUUUGAUUAAGCUUACUUAGCAUUAUUAUGGUCUAAUUAUAGCAUUGUUAGUAUUCUAUUAGAAUUAGGAUUUUGUUAUUGCAAUUUUCAUUCUUCCUUCCACAACCAGGUGCCCGGAGCAUUCUCAAGCAAGACUUCACAUAUUA
rnacentral:lncRNA from 1 species